CACUCUCUGAGAAGCUUUGCAGGUGUGACUGCUGUGUCACAUAUGUGUCAGUAGGUGGCAAAGAGGAGAGAGGCUGUCUACGCUCAGUGUUCUGUCUGACUUACAAACAUCUGAAUGGUUAGUAGCCUAACAUU